AGGAGAAAGAAGCUUCAUGAGGUUGGAUCGGUGACUGCCAUAUGUUUCACCUGUUUCCUCAUUAGAUGCUUUGUGGUUGUGUUAUCUGCUUUUGAUUCUGACGCAUCUCUUGACGUCUUGGAUCAUCCUGUUUUGAAUCUGAUAUACUACCUGCUGGUAGAAAUUCUUCCUUCAGCUCUUGUGCUGUACAUCCUGCGAAAACUGCCUCCAAAAAGAGUGUCUGCACAAUACCACCCAAUCAGUUAGCUGCAGCAGAAUUUUAUCGUUAGUGAUACACGUUCCCAUGGUUUCUGUUGCAGAAGCUAACUGGAGUUGUUCAGGAAAAGUGAAACUGCAAAAGGAUAUUCGGUUGCAAUAAUUCUGCGGAAAGGCAAAGAUUCAACGCUUUUUUGGCAGUUGUUAAAACAGAGGUUAAGCUGUUUUGCUUACAUUAUAUUGUUUCUGUGGUUUUAGUGUGAAGCAUGAGACAAAUAAGUGUUCCCCACGUCUGUGAAAAAUCCUAGUCAUGAUGUAAUGACGCAGAGGGUAAAUCUCAGUAUCGCCAUUGUACUGGCAUGUUGUAACUAUGAUGUUCUGGAUCUCCUUUACUGCAAUGACUGAUGUCCUUUGUUUGGUCAGUUUGUUCUAGUAAUUUU
rnacentral:misc_RNA from 1 species